rnacentral:rRNA from 1 species
GGUUAAGCGACUAAGCGUACACGGUGGAUGCCCUGGCAGUCAGAGGCGAUGAAGGGCGUGCUAAUCUGCGAUAAGCGCCGGUAAGGUGAUAUGAACCGUUAUAACCGGCGAUACCCGAAUGGGGAAACCCAGUGUGACUCGUCACACUAUCAUUAACUGAAUCCAUAGGUUAAUGAGGCGAACCGGGGGAACUGAAACAUCUAAGUACCCCGAGGAAAAGAAAUCAACCGAGAUUUCCCCAGUAGCGGCGAGCGAACGGGGAGGAGCCCAGAGCCUGAAUCAGCAUGUGUGUUAGUGGAAGCGUCUGGAAAGGCGCGCGAUACAGGGUGACAGCCCCGUACACAAAAGCGCAUGUGCUGUGAGCUCGAUGAGUAGGGCGGGACACGUGGUAUCCUGUCUGAAUAUGGGGGGACCAUCCUCCAAGGCUAAAUACUCCUGACUGACCGAUAGUGAACCAGUACCGUGAGGGAAAGGCGAAAAGAACCCCGGCGAGGGGAGUGAAAAAGAACCUGAAACCGUGUACGUACAAGCAGUGGGAGCCCCACCACUAAGCCAGUGGUGAACUCCACAUACGCAUCCUUUGCUGAGGAUACGGUUAACGGAGCGAAAGCGACGUUCAACCGCAAAAGAAGCAGAGGGGGCUUAGUGGUGGGGUGACUGCGUACCUUUUGUAUAAUGGGUCAGCGACUUAUAUUCUGUAGCAAGGUUAACCGAAUAGGGGAGCCGUAGGGAAACCGAGUCUUAACCGGGCGUUAAGUUGCAGGGUAUAGACCCGAAACCCGGUGAUCUAGCCAUGGGCAGGUUGAAGGUUGGGUAACACUAACUGGAGGACCGAACCGACUAAUGUUGAAAAAUUAGCGGAUGACCUGUGGCUGGGGGUGAAAGGCCAAUCAAACCGGGAGAUAGCUGGUUCUCCCCGAAAGCUAUUUAGGUAGCGCCUCGUGAAUUCAUCUCCGGGGGUAGAGCACUGUUUCGGCUAGGGGGCCAUCCCGGCUUACCAACCCGAUGCAAACUGCGAAUACCGGAGAAUGUUAUCACGGGAGACACACGGCGGGUGCUAACGUCCGUCGUGAAGAGGGAAACAACCCAGACCGCCAGCUAAGGUCCCAAAGUCAUGGUUAAGUGGGAAACGAUGUGGGAAGGCCCAGACAGCCAGGAUGUUGGCUUAGAAGCAGCCAUCAUUUAAAGAAAGCGUAAUAGCUCACUGGUCGAGUCGGCCUGCGCGGAAGAUGUAACGGGGCUAAACCAUGCACCGAAGCUGCGGCAGCGACACUCAGGUGUUGUUGGGUAGGGGAGCGUUCUGUAAGCCUGUGAAGGUGUGUCGUGAGGCAUGCUGGAGGUAUCAGAAGUGCGAAUGCUGACAUAAGUAACGAUAAAGCGGGUGAAAAGCCCGCUCGCCGGAAGACCAAGGGUUCCUGUCCAACGUUAAUCGGGGCAGGGUGAGUCGACCCCUAAGGCGAGGCCGAAAGGCGUAGUCGAUGGGAAACAGGUUAAUAUUCCUGUACUUGGUGUUACUGCGAAGGGGGGACGGAGAAGGCUAUGUUGGCCGGGCGACGGUUGUCCCGGUUUAAGCGUGUAGGUGUGUGUUCCAGGUAAAUCCGGUUCACUUUAACACUGAGGCGUGACGACGAGGCACUACGGUGCUGAAGCAACAAAUGCCCUGCUUCCAGGAAAAGCCUCUAAGCAUCAGGUAACAUCAAAUCGUACCCCAAACCGACACAGGUGGUCAGGUAGAGAAUACCAAGGCGCUUGAGAGAACUCGGGUGAAGGAACUAGGCAAAAUGGUGCCGUAACUUCGGGAGAAGGCACGCUGACACGUAGGUGAAGUGAUUUACUCAUGGAGCUGAAGUCAGUCGAAGAUACCAGCUGGCUGCAACUGUUUAUUAAAAACACAGCACUGUGCAAACACGAAAGUGGACGUAUACGGUGUGACGCCUGCCCGGUGCCGGAAGGUUAAUUGAUGGGGUCAGCGCAAGCGAAGCUCCUGAUCGAAGCCCCGGUAAACGGCGGCCGUAACUAUAACGGUCCUAAGGUAGCGAAAUUCCUUGUCGGGUAAGUUCCGACCUGCACGAAUGGCGUAAUGAUGGCCAGGCUGUCUCCACCCGAGACUCAGUGAAAUUGAACUCGCUGUGAAGAUGCAGUGUACCCGCGGCAAGACGGAAAGACCCUGAACCUUUACUAUAGCUUGACACUGAACAUUGAGCCUUGAUGUGUAGGAUAGGUGGGAGGCUUUGAAGCGUGGACGCCAGUCUGCGUGGAGCCGACCUUGAAAUACCACCCUUUAAUGUUUGAUGUUCUAACGUGGACCCGUAAUCCGGGUUGCGGACAGUGUCUGGUGGGUAGUUUGACUGGGGCGGUCUCCUCCUAAAGAGUAACGGAGGAGCACGAAGGUUGGCUAAUCCUGGUCGGACAUCAGGAGGUUAGUGCAAUGGCAUAAGCCAGCUUGACUGCGAGCGUGACGGCGCGAGCAGGUGCGAAAGCAGGUCAUAGUGAUCCGGUGGUUCUGAAUGGAAGGGCCAUCGCUCAACGGAUAAAAGGUACUCCGGGGAUAACAGGCUGAUACCGCCCAAGAGUUCAUAUCGACGGCGGUGUUUGGCACCUCGAUGUCGGCUCAUCACAUCCUGGGGCUGAAGUAGGUCCCAAGGGUAUGGCUGUUCGCCAUUUAAAGUGGUACGCGAGCUGGGUUUAGAACGUCGUGAGACAGUUCGGUCCCUAUCUGCCGUGGGCGCUGGAGAACUGAGGGGGCUGCUCCUAGUACGAGAGGACCGGAGUGGACGCAUCACUGGUGUUCGGGUUGUCAUGCCAAUGGCACUGCCCGGUAGCUAAAUGCGGAAGAGAUAAGUGCUGAAAGCAUCUAAGCACGAAACUUGCCCCGAGAUGAGUUCUCCCUGAGACUUUAGGUCUCCUGAAGGAACGUUGAAGACGACGACGUUGAUAGGCCGGGUGUGUAAGCGCAGCGAUGCGUUGAGCUAACCGGUACUAAUGAACCGUGAGGCUUAACCUU